AGAAGCGAGAAAAAACCACGAAGGCGCCAUUCUCAGUGAGUUUCAACAUUCCUGGUCGUCAAUGAAAUGUUCUUCCUUUUCAACCAACAGCUUAUAACAUACCAGACCCAUAAUAACAUUGUUGGCAACUCUUACAUCAGAAGCAUAUAAAAAAUUCCAAUCUGAAAGUACACUGAUGUUGAGAAUAAUUUGCACUGCUGGACCGAGCACAAUAACAAUUAUGGUGACAUAUCACAUAACAGAAACUAUAUCAGUGUUAAACUGGCAAAUGAAGUGAAAAAAUCUGAGUCAGACUCUACAUACCUUAAAGUACGGGACUUCCUGCUGUGGCCUUAGGACGAAGUACUGCUGGAUUUGAAAAAAAAAAUUCGCAUGCUAGGCACCUUUCGUAAUUUUUGGAUAUACCGA